rnacentral:rRNA from 1 species
AACGCUGGCGGCAUGCCUAACACAUGCAAGUCGAACGAGACCUUCGGGUCUAGUGGCGCACGGGUGCGUAACGCGUGGGAAUCUGCCCUUGGGUUCGGAAUAACAGUUAGAAAUGACUGCUAAUACCGGAUGAUGUCUUCGGACCAAAGAUUUAUCGCCCAGGGAUGAGCCCGCGUAGGAUUAGCUAGUUGGUGGGGUAAAGGCCUACCAAGGCGACGAUCCUUAGCUGGUCUGAGAGGAUGAUCAGCCACACUGGGACUGAGACACGGCCCAGACUCCUACGGGAGGCAGCAGUGGGGAAUAUUGGACAAUGGGCGAAAGCCUGAUCCAGCAAUGCCGCGUGAGUGAUGAAGGCCUUAGGGUUGUAAAGCUCUUUUACCCGGGAUGAUAAUGACAGUACCGGGAGAAUAAGCCCCGGCUAACUUCGUG